rnacentral:rRNA from 1 species
AGACGGAGGGGGCUAGCGUUGUUCGGAAUUACUGGGCGUAAAGCGCGCGUAGGCGGAUUGAUCAGUCAGAGGUGAAAUCCCAGGGCUCAACCCUGGAACUGCCUUUGAUACUGUCAGUCUUGAGAUCGAGAGAGGUGAGUGGAAUUCCGAGUGUAGAGGUGAAAUUCGUAGAUAUCCGGAGGAACACCAGUGGCGAAGGCGGCUCACUGGCUCGAUACUGACGCUGAGGUGCGAAAGCGUGGGGAGCAAACAGGAUUAGAUACCCCGGUAGUCC